CCUACGGGUGGCUGCAGUGGGGAAUAUUGCACAAUGGGCGCAAGCCUGAUGCAGCCAUGCCGCGUGUGUGAAGAAGGCCUUCGGGUUGUAAAGCACUUUCAGCGGGGAGGAAGGCGGUGAGGUUAAUAACCUCAUCGAUUGACGUUACCCGCAGAAGAAGCACCGGCUAACUCCGUGCCAGCAGCCGCGGUAAUACGGAGGGUGCAAGCGUUAAUCGGAAUUACUGGGCGUAAAGCGCACGCAGGCGGUCUGUCAAGUCGGAUGUGAAAUCCCCGGGCUCAACCUGGGAACUGCAUUCGAAACUGGCAGGCCAGAGUCUUGUAGAGGGGGGUAGAAUUCCAGGUGUAGCGGUGAAAUGCGUAGAGAUCUGGAGGAAUACCGGUGGCGAAGGCGGCCCCCUGGACAAAGACUGACGCUCAGGUGCGAAAGCGUGGGGAGCAAGCAGGAUUAGAUACCCUGGUAGUC
rnacentral:rRNA from 1 species